rfam:Bacillus thuringiensis serovar israelensis ATCC 35646 sq1834, whole genome shotgun sequence.
GAGAGCCGGAUACAUUGAGAGAUGUAAGUCCGGUUCGGGGAGGAGCAUUUGGAAACCUAUCACAGCAAUGUGAAAAGGCGCUGGGUGCUUACUCUAC